UUUAGAUAUAAAUUCCUCUAAAAACACGCUUUCUUUUUCUAAACCCUAGAUCUUCAUCUUCUUCUUCUUCUGAUGUACUCUUCCUCUUUUCUUCUGAUCCAGAUGAUUCAAGCUUCAAUAAUCAGGUCGUCUCCAGAAUUCCAGCCAUCACUCUCAUCGGGAUUUCUCAUAUCUCUGUCGGUUAAACCUUUGAAUCAGACGAGUCAGACAAAGUUGAUGAAGAUUCGGCAAAAGGUGAAUAUGUGAAAGAAUACAUUGAAGUUUCAAAUCUCACUUUGUCAUUGGAGAAUGUUGGGAUAGAUUUGCUUACGGGGGCGGUGAUCUAUGCUUUGUCAUUGGAGAAUAAUGAGCGACCGAAGAGGAGGAGAAGAAGAGCUAUUGUCUGUCGUCACUUUGUUUACAACUAAACCCCAUAUCGAUCCUAUUCGCGAUGGCCAUGCCUUUAACGGUGCCAAUACCUAAUUUUGGUCCUCAUAAUCAAAUCUCUGAACCUCAGUUGCAAUCAUUAGAACCACUUUGAGUUAAAGCAAAAUGGUAGUGUCUUUCAUACGACAGUAAUGGUAAAUGAGAUUGAUUGGCAAAGGAAUCAAACCUCCUUCUAUAGGUAAGUGCUUCCAUUCCUAAGUGUUGGACUAGGAUACUUUGUAGCGCCCAAUGGAAUUGGAUCUUAAUUAUGUUAUUGAUUAUACAAGUUAUUGAACUUCACGCCACAUUAACAUAGGAGAAAUUUGAACGAUUGUUGUUUAUAUAACUAGGCUGUUAAUUUAUACCCAUAAUUCUACUUGGUGCAAAUGCACUUUAAGUAUGCACUGCUCUUUUAUAGGGGUGUUCAUGGGUAUAACCUUAAGCCAAACCGUUAGUAACGGUCCAAACCGUUAGUAACGGUUUUUGAGCACCGAAAACCGAAUCGUUGAUAAAAAUGAAAGAGGUUUUACAAAAUAAUAACCUAGACAAAAUAAUCAUGGUUUGGGCGUACUGGUUUCACGGUUAUGUUUGCGUUCAUGGUUCAACACUUCAACUGCACUUAGGUUUUCUUUGGAAAUGAGUGCUUUUGAUGUUAGAUUAAGAUGCCAAAAUUAUCAAAACAUGUUGAUUUUGAUACUUCAUGGUAUAUUUUCAUCGUAUUGAUGGAACAGACAAGAAGUGUAUAUAAAACAAUACAAAGAAGAUACAGAAAUAAUAGAACUCGUAAGGAUGUAGCCUGCUUGCAGGUAGACUCGAAUUUCCUUUUAUUUUAGAGCUUUUAUAUUGAUGUGUCAUUUAAUAACCUUUUAUUAUUCCAUUGGCACUAGACUGUAUAUAAGGUAGUUACUUUGAAGACAAUGAACAUUUGAAGCUGGAAUAUGACUUUCUGCUUUCAUAGACCAAAUUUUAUCAUAUAGUGGUUGUUUUCAUGAUGAAAUAUCCUUAUUGAAUAAUGUUUUUCGUUAAAUCACAAAUUAUUAGUUUUCUAUAUAUAUAUAUAUAUAUAUAUAUAUAUAUUGUCUUCUCUGUUGUGAUGUGUAGAACAAUUUUGUAUUCCCUUUCACUAUUGUCUUCUCUGUUAUGGUCCCACCUCCAGGAAAAUGCAACUUGGAUAUUGUUCACAUUUUAUAACUUUAAGAGAAAUAGACAUGUCUAAAGUUUUUUUUUUAUCUACAUCAUAAACUCAACUCAAAUGUUUUUUGGUAAACUCAUUUAGUAAUAUUAUUUAUACAUCACGAUACAAAGUAACUCAAAUGUUUCUUGGUAAAUUCAUUUAAUAAUCUAUUAUAUAUAAUCGAGCUAUUUUAUAGCUAUAUUUAACUGAUAUUUAUAUUUAAAAAAUAAACAAAGUGUUACUAUUCUCGCUAUCCUUCGCUACAACCCAAAUAUGCAAUUGUAGAUUGGCAGACCAACUCUGUAUGGGUUGGCCGCAAAGGAAUAGUAUGGAGUUAGAAGAAAUGUUGAAGGAUGAACUUGAGCUCAAAAUGGCUUUUUCAUGUUGCCCCACUCUCAAUGAUAUAUGGAUGUCACUUUGUUUAUGAUUUAUGAAGUGAAUGAUAUUAAAUUUUAGGUGUUUGUUAAAUCAAAGAGGACUUGCAUCUAUAACAUUGGAUGUGGCAAGGCGUUCUACACCAGCCGGACUGCGCUCAUGUUACUUUUAGUAAAUUAUUAAUGUAACAUUAUUUGUCUUUUUCUUGAUAUUUUUGUACAUAGUUUAUAAAGAAAACUUCAUACUUAAUACCUAAUGAUGCAAUUCAUUUUGUUACUAA